rnacentral:rRNA from 1 species
UACGAAGGGGGCUAGCGUUGUUCGGAAUCACUGGGCGUAAAGCGCACGUAGGCGGAUUGUUAAGUCGGGGGUGAAAUCCUGAGGCUCAACCUCAGAACUGCCUUCGAUACUGGCAAUCUCGAGUCCGGAAGAGGUUGGUGGAACAGCUAGUGUAGAGGUGAAAUUCGUAGAUAUUAGCUAGAACACCAGUGGCGAAGGCGGCCAACUGGUCCGGCACUGACGCUGAGGUGCGAAAGCGUGGGGAGCGAACGGG